rnacentral:rRNA from 1 species
GCAGGCCUAACACAUGCAAGUCGAGCGCCCCGCAAGGGAGCGGCGGACGGGUGAGUAACGCGUGGGAACGUGCCUCUUGCUACGGAAUAGCCUCGGGAAACUGGGAGUAAUACCGUAUGUGCCCUACGGGGGAAAGAUUUAUCGGCAAGGGAUCGGCCCGCGUUGGAUUAGGUAGUUGGUGGGGUAAUGGCCUACCAAGCCGACGAUCCAUAGCUGGUUUGAGAGGAUGAUCAGCCACACUGGGACUGAGACACGGCCCAGACUCCUACGGGAGGCAGCAGUGGGGAAUCUUAGACAAUGGGCGCAAGCCUGAUCUAGCCAUGCCGCGUGAGCGAUGAAGGCCUUAGGGUUGUAAAGCUCUUUCAGUGGGGAAGAUAAUGACUGUACCCACAGAGAAGCCCCGGCUAACUCCGUG